UAUCUCUGUAGAGUCUGCAUAUCAAUAAGCGGAGGAAAAGAAACUAACUAGGAUUCCCUCAGUAACGGCGAGUGAAGCGGGAAGAGCUCAAAUUUGAAAUCUUCAAGGUUUUACCUUGACGAAUUGUAGUUUAAAGAAGUAUUUUCUGUUGGAGUUUUGGUAAAAGUUCUUUGGAAUAGGACAUCAUAGAGGGUGAGAAUCCCGUAUUUGACCAUUAUUUCCAGCUUUGUGAUACACUUUCAAAGAGUCGGAUUGUUUGGGAAUGCAGUCCAAAAUGGGUGGUAAAUUUCAUCUAAAGCUAAAUACUGGCGAGAGACCGAUAGCGAACAAGUACCGUGAGGAAAGAUGAAAAGAACUUUGAAAAGAGAGUUAAACAGUACGUGAAAUUGUCAAAAGGGAAGCGUUUGACAUCAGUGUUGUUUUCUCGAAAAUCAAUUAAAAAAGGCAGGAUUUUGUGUUGUAUUGACUUUAUCAGCUUUCUGCACUCUUUUCUUGUCUUUUUUAAUGCACUUUUCGUUUAACAAGUCAACAUCAAUUUCUUUUGUUGUAAAAGGGUCAUUGGAAGGUGGCUUUCUUUUCGGAGAAAGUGUUUAUAGCCUUUGGCCUCUGCAAUCGGAGAGAUUGAGGUCUGCAGCGUAGAUCCUUCGGGGUUAGAUACAUUUGUGCUAAGUUAUAGCCUUUCAUAGACAACUUGUUGACUAUGAUCAGUCAUGUAGCUUACUCGCUUAUGCUAUUUUACCUACGCUUAGGAUGUUGACGAUCAGCUGAGCGCG
rnacentral:rRNA from 1 species